rnacentral:rRNA from 1 species
GAUGAACGCUGGCGGCGUGCCUAAUACAUGCAAGUCGAGCGAAUGGAUUAAGAGCUUGCUCUUAUGAAGUUAGCGGCGGACGGGUGAGUAACACGUGGGUAACCUGCCCAUAAGACUGGGAUAACUCCGGGAAACCGGGGCUAAUACCGGAUAACAUUUUGAACCGCAUGGUUCGAAAUUGAAAGGCGGCUUCGGCUGUCACUUAUGGAUGGACCCGCGUCGCAUUAGCUAGUUGGUGAGGUAACGGCUCACCAAGGCAACGAUGCGUAGCCGAGCUGAGGGGGUGAUCGGCCACACUGGGACUAAGACACGGCCCAGACUCCUACGGGAGGCAGCAGUAGGAAAUCUUCCGCAAUGGACGAAAGUCUGACGGAGCAACGCCGCGUGAGUGAUGAAGGCUUUCGGGUCGUAAAACUCUGUUGUUAGGGAAGAACAAGUGCUAGUUGAAUAAGCUGACACCUUGACGGUACCUAACCAGAAAGCCACGGCUAACUACGUGCCAGCCGCCGCCGUAA